UACGUAGGUGGCAAGCGUUGUCCGGAAUCAUUGGGCGUAAAGAGCGUGUAGGCGGCUCGGUAAGUCCGCUGUGAAAGUCCAGGGCUCAACCCUGGAAUGCCGGCGGAAACUGUCGAGCUAGAGUCCGGAAGAGGCGAGUGGAAUUCCUGGUGUAGCGGUGAAAUGCGCAGAUAUCAGGAGGAACACCAAUGGCGAAGGCAGCUCGCUGGGACGGUACUGACGCUGAGACGCGAAAGCGUGGGGAGCAAACAGG
rnacentral:rRNA from 1 species